rnacentral:rRNA from 1 species
UACGGAGGGUGCAAGCGUUAUCCGGAUUUAUUGGGUUUAAAGGGUCCGUAGGCGGGCCCGUAAGUCAGUGGUGAAAUCUCAUAGCUUAACUAUGAAACUGCCAUUGAUACUGCGGGUCUUGAGUAAAUUUGAAGUGGCUGGAAUAAGUAGUGUAGCGGUGAAACGCAUAGAUAUUACUUAGAACACCAAUUGCGAAGGCAGGUCACUAAGAUUUAACUGACGCUGAUGGACGAAAGCGUGGGUAGCGAACAGG